rnacentral:rRNA from 1 species
GACGAACGCUGGCGGCGUGCUUAACACAUGCAAGUCGAACGGAAAGGCCCUUCGGGGUACUCGAGUGGCGAACGGGUGAGUAACACGUGGGUGAUCUGCCUCGUACUCUGGGAUAAGCCUGGGAAACUGGGUCUAAUACCGGAUAGGACCAUUGGGCGCAUGUCUGGUGGUGGAAAGUUUUUCGGUGCGAGAUGAGUCCGCGGCCUAUCAGCUUGUUGGUGGGGUAAUGGCCUACCAAGGCGACGACGGGUAGCCGGCCUGAGAGGGCGAACGGCCACACUGGGACUGAGACACGGCCCAGACUCCUACGGGAGGCAGCAGUGGGGAAUAUUGCACAAUGGGCGCAAGCCUGAUGCAGCGACGCCGCGUGAGGGAUGACGGCCUUCGGGUUGUAAACCUCUUUCAGCUGUGACGAAGCUUUCGGGUGACGGUAGCAGCAGAAGAAGCACCGGCCAACUACGUGCCAGCCGCCGCGGUAACAC